GGUGAGAUGGCCGAGUGGUUAUGGCGCUGCGUUCAGGUAAAACUGAACAAAUUUCGCAGUGGAGCAAUCCGCGUGGGUUCGAGUCCCACUCUCAUCA